rnacentral:rRNA from 1 species
AUUGAACGCUGGCGGUAUGCUUAACACAUGCAAGUCGAACGAUGAGAAAGAGCUUGCUCUUUCGAUUAGUGGCGGACGGGUGCGUAACGCGUAGGAAUCUACCUAUUAGUGGGGGACAACUUAGGGAAACUUAAGCUAAUACCGCAUACGCCCUACGGGGGAAAGAAGGGGAUCGCAAGACCUUUUGCUAAUAGAUGAGCCUGCGUAGGAUUAGCUAGUUGGUGGGGUAAAAGCUCACCAAGGCGACGGUCCUUAACUAGUUUGAGAGAAUGAUCAGUCACAAUGGAACUGAGACACGGUCCAGACUCCUACGGGAGGCAGCAGUGGGGAAUAUUGGACAAUGGGCGAAAGCCUGAUCCAGCAAUACCGCGUGUGUGAAGAAGGCCUUAGGGUUGUAAAGCACUUUCAAUUGGAAGGAAAACCUCGAAGCUAAUACCUUCGAGUUUGACAUUACCUUUAGAAGAAGCACCGGCUAACUCCGUGCCAGCCGCCGCAGUAA